rnacentral:hammerhead_ribozyme from 1 species
AUCCAGUUGACGAGUCUCAAAUAGGACGAAACGUGCGUCCUGUAU